UAGGGAAUCUUCCGCAAUGGACGCAAGUCUGACGGAGCAACGCCGCGUGAGUGAAGAAGGAUUUCGGUUCGUAAAACUCUGUUGUUAGAGAAGAACAGCGCAUAGAGUAACUGUUAUGCGUGUGACGGUAUCUAACCAGAAAGCCACGGCUAACUACGUGCCAGCAGCCGCGGUAAUACGUAGGUGGGAAGCGUUGUCCGGAUUUAUUGGGCGUAAAGCGAGCGCAGGCGGUCAAUUAAGUCUGAUGUGAAAGCCCCCGGCUCAACCGGGGAGGGUCAUUGGAAACUGGUGGACUUGAGUGCAGAAGAGGAGAGUGGAAUUCCAUGUGUAGCGGUGAAAUGCGUAGAUAUAUGGAGGAACACCAGUGGCGAAGGCGACUCUCUGGUCUGUAACUGACGCUGAGGCUCGAAAGCGUGGGGAGCGAACAGG
rnacentral:rRNA from 1 species